CCUACGGCGGCUGCAGUGAGGAAUAUUGGUCAAUGGACGAGAGUCUGAACCAGCCAAGUAGCGUGAAGGAUGACUGCCCUAUGGGUUGUAAACUUCUUUUAUAUGGGAAUAAAACGUUCCACGUGUGGGAUUUUGUAUGUACCAUAUGAAUAAGGAUCGGCUAACUCCGUGCCAGCAGCCGCGGUAAUACGGAGGAUCCGAGCGUUAUCCGGAUUUAUUGGGUUUAAAGGGAGCGUAGGUGGAUUGUUAAGUCAGUUGUGAAAGUUUGCGGCUCAACCGUAAAAUUGCAGUUGAAACUGGCAGUCUUGAGUACAGUAGAGGUGGGCGGAAUUCGUGGUGUAGCGGUGAAAUGCUUAGAUAUCACGAAGAACUCCGAUUGCGAAGGCAGUUCACUGGACUGCAACUGACACUGAGGCUCGAAAGUGUGGGUAUCAAACAGGAUUAGAUACCCGAGUAGUC
rnacentral:rRNA from 1 species